UCAUAGGCAUUAGGUAUAUUGUCCCGAUCAACAUAAGAGGCAUAUUAUAUACAUAGGAUUUAUAGGUAUUGAAUUUACUUAUUGCAUUUAUUUAUAAGCACUAUACAAUUUUACAUAUUCUGAUAUUACAAGCAAUUUAAUAUACAAUAUAAUACUAUGAUAAAUCUAGCUGCCAAAAAUAUAGCAACCGCAGUGUGCAUCUCAUUAGUGCUUCUCAUGUAACCAUCACAAAUUCUAGCACAGAAGAGAACAUUAGAACUAUGUCUACAUUUAUAACAAGUUUCAUUAUCUUAUUGAUAUAAUCCUUUGUUAGUUGAACUAUAACUUAGCAACUAAAACUACAUGAAAUUCGAAUAAUACCAGUUUUCGAUAAAGAUCGGUUUGACCCGACUGUAAGCAAGAUGCAGCGGCUCGGCUGUUCUCCAUGUGACUCAUAAAUAUGUAUCUGUUUUAUAACGAUGGAUAAUUGCCGUUACAUCUUAGCUUAGUAAUGGCACAAUAGAUUGAAUAAACAGGUAACAUUUAUGUAUGCACAGCUUAGCGAAGCCAUA